UACGUAGGGGGCGAGCGUUGUCCGGAAUUACUGGGCGUAAAGAGAGCGUAGGCGGCACUACAAGUCUCAUGUGAAAUACCCGGGCUUAACUUGGGGGUUGCAUGGGAAACUGUAGAGCUUGAGUACAGGAGAGGCAAGCGGAAUUCCUAGUGUAGCGGUGAAAUGCAUAGAUAUUAGGAGGAACACCAGUGGCGAAAGCGGCUCUCUGGCCUGUAACUGACACUGAGGCUCGAAAGCGUGGGGAGCAAACAGG
rnacentral:rRNA from 1 species